GCCCGACCGCCACCCAGUCUUGGAGGUGAGGAGCCCCUCUGCCCGGCCACCACCCCGUCUGGGAGGUGUACCCAACAGCUCAUUGAGAACGGGCCAUGAUGACGAUGGCGGUUUUGUCGAAUAGAAAAGGGGGAAAUGUGGGGAAAAGAUAGAAAAAUCAGAUUGUUGCUGUGUCUGUGUAGAAAGAAGUAGACAUGGGAGACUCAAUUUUGUUCUGUACUAAGAAAAAUUCUUCUGCCUUGGGAUCCUGUUGAUCUGUGACCUUACCCCCAACCCUGUGCUCUCUGAAACAUGUGCUGUGUCCACUCAGGGUUAAAUGGAUUAAGGGCGGUGCAAGAUGUGCUUUGUUAAACAGAUGCUUGAAGGCAGCAUGCUCGUUAAGAGUCAUCACCACUCCCUAAUCUCAAGUACCCAGGGACACAAACACUGCAGAAGGCCGCAGGGCCCUCUGCCUAGGAAAACCAGAGACCUUUGUUCACUUGUUUAUCUGCUGACCUUCCGUCCACUAUUGUCCUAUGACCCUGCCAAAUCCCCCUCUGCGAGAAACACCCAAGAAUGAUCAAUAAAAAUACAUAAAUAAA
rnacentral:lncRNA from 1 species